rnacentral:rRNA from 1 species
AGCAUAUCAAUAAGCGGAGGAAAAGAAACCAACAGGGAUUGCCCUAGUAACGGCGAGUGAAGCGGCAACAGCUCAAAUUUGAAAUCUGGCUUCGGCCCGAGUUGUAAUUUGCAGAGGAUGUUUCUGGCGCGGUGCCUUCCGAGUUCCCUGGAACGGGACGCCAUAGAGGGUGAGAGCCCCGUAUGGUUGGACACCAAGCCUGUGUGAAACUCCUUCGACGAGUCGAGUAGUUUGGGAAUGCUGCUCAAAAUGGGAGGUAAAUCUCUUCUAAAGCUAAAUACCGGCCAGAGACCGAUAGCGCACAAGUAGAGUGAUCGAAAGAUGAAAAGCACCUUGAAAAGGGGGUUAAACAGUACGUGAAAUUGUUGAAAGGGAAGCACUCGUGACCAGACUCGUGCCGGGCGGCUCAUCCGGGGUUCUCCCCGGUGCACUCCGCCCGGUGUAGGCCAGCAUCGGUUCUUUCUGGGGGAUAAGAGCAGUGGGAAUGUGGCCCUCCCUCGGGAGGGUGUUAUAGCCCGCUGCAUGAUACCCUGGAGGGGACCGAGGUUCGCGCUCCGCAAGGAUGCUGGCGUAAUGGUUACCAGUGACCCGUCUUGAAACACGGACCAAGGAGUCGUCCAUUAGAGCGAGCGUUUGGGUGUCAAACCCGCACGCGUAAUGAAAGUGAAAUUAGGUGAGAGCUUCGGCGCAUCAUCGACCGAUCCUGAUGUUCUCGGAUGGAUUUGAGUAAGAGUUUUAACGGACGGACCCGAAAGACAGUGAACUAUGCUUGUAUAGGGUGAAGCCAGAGGAAACUCUGGUGGAGGCUCGCAGCGGUUCUGACGUGCAAAUCGAUCGUCAAAUAUGAGCAUGGGGGCGAAAGACUAAUCGAA